rnacentral:lncRNA from 1 species
UCUGAUACCAUGUAAAAAGAUAAUAUUUUGUUGUAUUUCACAAUAGAGAUUACAAUCUAUUUAUAUAUGAAAGACGAUAUCUAAAUAGGAAGGAAAAUCUUGCCUAUGAUUAUAUAAUCUCUAAAAUUAAGUAACUAACCCAUCUAUCAAUAUUUAUUUCCUAUAUUAACAUAUUUACUCCCCGUAACAGUAACAUUUAUUUUAUCUUUUUUAUUGAUGAUUAUACCAUGUUGUAUUGGGUAUAUUUUAUUAAACUCAAGAGUGAAGUGUAAUCUCACAAUUAAAACCUUGAGAUCUGACAAUAGUGUUGAAUAUACCUCUAGUCAAUUUGUUGAUUUUGUAAUGCUAGUGGUAUAGAAAAUCAAUUUUUUAUUCCAUACACACCAC